GUUGGACCAUAUAUCUCUUCUGUUCAUAAACAUGGAGAACCCCAGUUAGUACAAGUUAGUGCUGUUAAUAACCGCGCAAUAGUCUCGAUAUAAGCGCGCAAAAUAGAUAAUACUGUCUUUAUCGGGUGUACGCCCGCUCCAAUCCACGGCAUAAUGGUAGGGGCAAGUCCAUAUCUGUCAGCCACACAUCGUACUGUACCUACAGCUCAAUUAUUGUUUAUAUGUUCCUAAGUAAUUCGUCACGGUUGCCAAUACUGACUGCUUCUAUAUACAUAUUUGUGUUCGAACGACUUUCUUCAAGGCCAGUUUCGAAUAAAUCGUUCGAUUUACGUGUUUCCAUAUUCUUGUGACGCACAAAUUAUCUAAAUUAGUUGCUGUAUUAUGUAUUUGCAGGUAAAAGAUACGAAGGGUCUCGUGGGGCGGCCACGGACCGGAAGGCGAAGCGUGGGACGGUGCUCCACUAGGUGAACUUGCGACCUGGGAAGGUCGCGGGGAGCCGUUGGACUCAAGUCGUCCGGAACCCUACGAAGCGGAAGAAUUUUAAGGAAACUACCAGAUUCGUGAAGCGAUACAUACAAUUGUACCACUUCAUUACCUGGUACUAAUCUCAUAACACUAUUAAUAUAUCUAGCUACAUAAUAAAGGAAGCCGUACCAACUAA